CAGUCGCCGCGGUAAUACGAAGGGUGCAAGCGCUACUCGGAAUUACUGGGCGUAAAGCGUGCGUAGGUGGUGGUUUAAGUCCGUUGUGAAAGCCCUGGGCUCAACCUGGGAAUUGCAGUGGAUACUGGGUCACUAGAGUGUGGUAGAGGAUAGUGGAAUUUCCGGUGUAGCAGUGAAAUGCGUAGAGAUCUGGAGGAAUACCGAUGGCGAAGGCAGCCAUCUGGCCUAAUACUGACGCUGAGGUACGAAAGCAUGGGGAGCAAACAGGAUUAGAUACCCCCGUAGUCCCUGUCUCUUAUAC
rnacentral:rRNA from 1 species